GUGCGACGAUUUGCAACGGAGGCCACAAACGGAAUGGAGCCUCGUGCUGCCAUUCGAACACACUCCUCCGGGGAAAGUCCCCGGACACUGCGGCAGAGAGUGCCAGCCAUCAAGGCCAGUCCCUCUACUAUCUGAGCUUCUGGCGAAGACAACCUUCGGUUUGAGCUGAUA
rnacentral:RNase_MRP_RNA from 1 species